CCGUAGGUGAACCUGCGGAGGGAUCAUUACCGAGUUUACAACUCCCAAACCCCUGUGAACAUACCUUAAUGUUGCCUCGGCGGAUCAGCCCGCGCCCCGUAAAWCGGGACGGCCCGCCAGAGGACCCAAACUCUAAUGUUUCUUAUUGUAACUUCUGAGUAAAACAAACAAAUAAAUCAAAACUUUCAACAACGGAUCUCUUGGUUCUGGCAUCGAUGAAGAACGCAGCAAAAUGCGAUAAGUAAUGUGAAUUGCAGAAUUCAGUGAAUCAUCGAAUCUUUGAACGCACAUUGCGCCCGCUGGUAUUCCGGCGGGCAUGCCUGUUCGAGCGUCAUUUCAACCCUCAAGCCCCCGGGUUUGGUGUUGGGGAUCGGCUCUGCCCUUCUGGGCGGUGCCGCCCCCGAAAUACAUUGGCGGUCUCGCUGCAGCCUCCAUUGCGUAGUAGCUAACACCUCGCAAMUGGAACGCGGCGCGGCCAUGCCGUAAAACCCCAACUUCUGAAUGUUGACCUCGGAUCAGGUAGGAAUACCCGCUGAACUUAAGCAUAUCAAUAAGCGGAGG
rnacentral:rRNA from 1 species